AUUUCACUAUAAAACAAAAGAAGCCUCCUUCUGUUUAGUCUCAUUUCUCACAGACCGUCCCAUAUCGAAUCAUCAAUGGCAGAAGCAACAAAGAGGUAUGCAGUUGUUACUGGGGCAAACAAAGGCAUAGGAUUGGAAACUGUGAGGCAAUUGGCCUCAAAUGGAUUCACUGUAGUCUUAACUGCCAGAGAUGAGAAGAGGGGUCUUGAAGCUGUUGAGAAACUCAAAGAGUCUGGCCUCUCAGGUCAAGUGGUUUUUCAUCAACUUGAUGUGGCUAACCCUGCUACUGUUGCUUCUUUGGCAGACUUCAUCAAAACCCAGUUUGGGAAACUCGAUAUCUUGGUGAACAAUGCAGGGAUUUUUGGAAGCAUAUUAGAUGGUGAUGCUUUUAAAGCUGUAAUAGCCUCUGGUGACGUGGAAAGACUAGGAGUUGAUUUGAUUAAACUAGUGACUGAAACUUAUGAGUUCGCAGAAGAAUGCGUACAAAUAAACUAUUAUGGUGCUAAAAGAACAGCUGAAGCACUUAUCCCACUCCUCCAGUUAUCUGACUCACCGAGAAUUGUUAAUGUUUCGUCUGGCGCAGGGAAGUUAAACAACAUACCAAGCCAUUGGGCUAAAGGAGUUUUUACUGAUGCCGAAAACCUAACAGAAGAGAGAGUAGAUGAGGUAUUGACUGAGUUUCUAAAAGAUUUCAAGGAGGGUUCACUUGAAAGUAAGGGCUGGCCUUCUUCUAUGCCUGCCUAUAUAGUCUCAAAAGCAGCGUUGAACGCAUAUACAAGGAUUCUAGCAAAGAAGUACCUCAAUUUUCGUAUCAAUUCGGUCUGCCCUGGCUUUGUCAAAACAGAUAUAAACUGCAAUGUCGGCGUCUUGCCUGUCGAAGAAGGUGGUGCCAGGAUUGUGAAGUUAGCCUUGCUGCCCAAUGACGGCCCUACUGGCUCCUUCUUUGUUCACAAUGAAGUGUCAGAUCUUACAUAUGGAUCUCGACACCCACUUUGUGUCCCUGCUGGGUUAGUUUGUAAACCUGACUCUCCUAUUUGGAAACAUACCUCUAAUGGUUCUUUUAAUGUCAAAUCUGCUUACAGGGCUAACUGCAGGGACUCUUCAAAUCGGUUAUUAACUAAUGAACAAAGAGUCAGGCGGAGGUUGACUCUGCAUGCAAAUUGUGACAUUUGUGGUGCCCCUGUGGAGAAUGUGGAUCAUAUUGUUAGGAAUUGUUUAUUGGCUUCUCUUGUUUGGCGCCAAUCCUCCUUGCCUAUAAGUCUGAACUUGUCGCAGGAUGACAACUUGAUUACCUGGGCUGGAAAAAAUUUACACAACUACACCUUAAUGGGUUACAGGGUUGUGUGGUCUACUCUGUUUGCUUUCACAUGCUGGUUCCUUUGGAAAUGGAGGAACCAGAAGAUUUUCGAUCCUGGGUUUGUCUUCCCUCCCAAUCCCAACCACAUAAUUCUUUUGGCUGCUGCAGAUUGGCAAUUUGCCAACAUUGAUCUUGCUCAUAAACCCAUCCGCUCCAUAGCCAAUCUAUCCUGGCAGUACCCUGCUGCAGGAGUGACUAAAAUUAAUACUGAUGGUUGCCGAAAUGGAGAGACUGGUCGCAUUGCUGCUGGUGGUGUACUUAGAUCAAGCUCUGGGAUGUGGGUUAAAGGGUUUGCUGCUAAUAUUGGUUAUGGUCAAGUAUUAGAUGCUGAGUUAUGGGGUAUCUACUAUGGUCUCAAAUCUGCUUGGGAUAUGGGCUGUAGUGUUGUUGUGCUGGAAUCUGACUCAGCCGUUGCAGUGAAUCUUCUCAAUAAAGCUGUGGAUGCCCUCCACCCUCUUGCUACCUUGUUAUGGGGCUGCCAGGACUACAUCAAACGAUGUUGGGGCUGCUCUAUUUCUCAUGUCUAUCGUGAAUGCAAUAUGGUGGCUGAUAGACUUGCUAACUUGGGCUCUUGCCUUGAUUUGGGUCUCAGUUCCUUUCAAGUGCCCCCAGACAGUAUUAGGUCCUCGUUUGUUGAUGACCUGCGUGGUCUUUUCAAUUGUGUAAACAAAGGCGUAGGAUUGGAAACUGUCAGGCAGUUGGCCUCAAAAGGAUUCAAUGUAGUCUUAACUGCCAGAGAUGAGAAGAGGGGUCUUGAAGCUGUUGAGAAACUCAGAGAGUCUGGCCCCUCAGAUCAAUCAAAAUUCAACGGCUUUCCAAGAACAUUACACUACAAAAGAAAAGAAGGCUCCUUCUGUUUAAUACACAUCUCAAUUCUCACAGAUCGUCCCGUUUCAAAUCUAUCAAUGGCAGAAGCAACAAAGAGGUAUGCAGUUGUUACUGGAGCAAACAAAGGCAUAGGAUUGGAAACUGUCAGGCAGUUGGCCUCAAAUGGGUUCACCGUAGUCUUAACUGCCCGAGAUGAGAAGAGGGGUCUUGAAGCUGUUGAGAAACUCAAGGAGUCUGGUCUCUCAGGUCAAGUGGUUUUUCAUCAACUUGAUGUGGCUAACCCUGCCAGUCUUGCUCCUUUGGCAGACUUCAUCAAAACCCAGUUUGGGAAACUCGAUAUCUUGGUGAACAAUGCGGGGAUUAGUGGAAGCAUAGUAGAUGGUGAUGCUUUUAAAGCUGCUGUAGCCUCCGGUGCCACGGAAAGAGGAGUUGAUUGGAGUAAACUAGUGACUGAAACUUAUGAGUUGACAGAAGAAUGCUUGCAAAUAAACUAUUAUGGUGCUAAAAGAACAGCUGAAGCACUUAUCCCACUCCUCCAGUUAUCCGAUUCACCGAGAAUCGUUAAUGUUUCGUCUAUCAUGGGGAAGUUAAACAACAUACCGAGCGGUUGGGCUAAAGGAGUUUUUACUGAUGCAGAAAACCUAACAGAAGAGAGAGUAGAUGAGGUAUUGACAGAGCUUCUAAAAGACUUCAAGGAGGGUUCACUUGAAAGUAAAGGCUGGCCUUCUUCUAUGCCUGCCUAUAUAGUCUCAAAAGCAGCACUGAACGCAUAUACAAGGAUUCUAGCAAAGAAGUACCCCAAUUUUCGUAUCAAUUCGGUCUGCCCUGGCUUUAUCAAAACAGAUAUAAACUUCAAUGUCGGCGUCUUGCCUGUCGAAGAAGGUGGUGCCAGGGUUGUGAAGUUAGCAUUGCUACCCAGUGAUGGCCCUACUGGCUCCUUCUUUGUUCACAAUGAAGUGUCGGAUCUCUAUCGUCCCGUUUCGAAUCUAUCAAUGGCAGAAGCAACAAAGAGGUAUGCAGUUGUUACUGGAGCAAACAAAGGCAUAGGAUUGGAAACUGUCAGGCAGUUGGCCUCAAAUGGGUUCACCGUAGUCUUAACUGCCCGAGAUGAGACGAGGGGUCUUGAAGCUGUUGAGAAACUCAAAGAGUCUGGUCUCUCAGGUCAAGUGGUUUUUCAUCAACUUGAUGUGGCUAACCCUGCUACUGUUGCUUCUUUGGCAGACUUCAUCAAAACCCAGUUUGGGAAACUCGAUAUCUUGGUGAACAAUGCAGGGAUUUUUGGAAGCAUAUUCGAUGGUGAUGCUUUUAAAGCUGUAAUAGCCUCUGGUGCCGUGGAAAGAGGAGAAGUUGAUUUGAGUAAACUAGUGACUGAAACUUAUGAGUUGACAGAAGAAUGCUUGCAAAUAAACUAUUAUGGUGCUAAAAGAACAGCUGAAGCACUUAUCCCACUCCUCCAGUUAUCCGAUUCACCGAGAAUCGUUAAUGUUUCGUCUAUCAUGGGGAAGUUAAACAACAUACCGAGCGGUUGGGCUAAAGGAGUUUUUACUGAUGCAGAAAACCUAACAGAAGAGAGAGUAGAUGAGGUACUAACAGAGCUUCUAAAAGACUUCAAGGAGGGUUCACUUGAAAGUAAGGGCUGGCCUUCUUCUAUGCCUGCCUAUACAGUCUCAAAAGCAGCACUAAACGCAUAUACAAGGAUUCUAGCAAAGAAGUACCCCAAUUUUCGUAUCAAUUCGGUUUGCCCUGGCUUUGUCAAAACAGAUAUAAACUUCAACGCCGGCGUCUUGCCUGUCGAAGAAGGUGGUGCCAGGGUUGUGAAGUUAGCAUUGCUGCCCAAUGAUGGCCCUACUGGCUCCUUCUUUGUUCACAAUGAAGUGUCAGAUCUUUGAUUGAAGAUGAUCCAUUUAUGCGAAUUUAAUACGAGUCACUUAUUGGGCCACAUCUUGUGCGCUAUUAUUCAGUCAGAAAUUCUAUGUGAUUAAUGUCCGGUAUUAUCGAUAGUAUAUCAAUAACAUUUCUAUAUAUUUUGUUA